CAUGCGCGGCGCGCUCUCCGGCGCCUUGGGAACCAGGCCGCGGGCAGGUGGUCAGCCCCAGGCGGGCAGGCCAUCGCUGGACAGUGCGGCCAGGUGUGCCGGCCCUUCAUACCGAGUCUUGAUUUCGAGAGCUCCACAAAUGAUGUUCAAAAGGCAUUUGAGGAUGAGGUAGAGUUCUGGAGAAAGUCCGUGACCAGGAGCCUCUCCAUACUGGCGAUCUCUGCGCCUAUUGCUGUCUUGCAUUAAACUUGUACAUCGUUUUGCCAGAUGAAGUCGAACAUGGAGGAAGAGGAGGACUACAUGUCUGAUUCCUUCAUUAAUGUCCAAGAAGAUAUUAGACCAGGAAUCCCCAUGCUGAGGCAGAUCCGAGAAGCCCAUCGAAAAGAAAAAAAGCAGCAAGAAGCUAACCUGAAAAGCAGGCAGAAGAGUUUAAAAGAGGAAGAACGGGAAAGACGUGACAUUGGGUUGAAGAAUGCACUAGGCUGUGAAAACAAAGGGUUUGCUUUGCUUCAAAAGAUGGGGUAUAAAAGUGGCCAGGCUCUUGGCAAGAGUGGAGGUGGUAUUGUUGAACCAAUUCCUCUCCAUGUCAAAACAGGGAAAAGUGGCAUAGGUCACGAAUCAUUAUUAAAACGCAAAGCAGAGGAGAAAUUAGAAAACCACAGAAGAAAGAUGCACAUGAGAAACCAAGCAGCAGAAAGAGCGACGGAAGACUUUCGGAUGCGACUUAAAAAUAAACAAGAUGAAAUGAGGCUGGAAGGAGAUCUUAGAAGAAGCCAGCGAGCUUGUCAGCAGUUGGAUGCCCAGAAGAAUAUUCAGGUUCCCAGGGAGGCAUGGUACUGGUUAAGGCCUGAAGAGGAGGCUGAGGAAGAGGAAGAAGAAAAAGAGCAGGACGACGACGAAUACCCGGGUGAAGACUUGAGUGUACGCUGGGGCGCCGUUUCUCUCCUUCACAGCGCAGGGCCUCGACCUUGGGCACCGUUGCUGGAGCGCCGAGCGCUGGGUCCUGGAAAAAUUACAGAUACUGACUAGUUAUUUAAGAGAAGAACAUCUGUACUGUAUUUGGUGUGGAACAGCCUAUGAAGAUAAAGAUGACCUGUCUUCAAAUUGCCCGGGACCAACCUCUGCAGAUCAUGACUAACACUGUUCCCAGUAAAGUAAAACUGUUAAUGCCAGCGAUGAAAGAAGCCCUUUGUAUAAUACUUUAUCCUUUUUGUGCUUUGCAGAUAUGUUCUUUAGAACAUAAUUGUUCACUGACUUGAAAAGAAAUGAUUCAAUGUCACUUGAGAACACAAAUAUCAUAGACUUUGACAGUUACAGUUUAUGGCUGUGUCAUGAUGCUUGUGGAGUUUAAGGACACCAACCAUAGCUCUCUUACCACCCCCCAACCUUAGAACGCAUUGGGGAAUGAAGCAUGGGAGACAGGAGAAGAUGAAAAUGCCAACUUUAGGGCCAGAGAUAUAGUUCAGUGGUCAAGUGCCUGGCUAGCAUGCACAAGGCCCAAGGUUCAAUCCCAGCACCUCAACUUCAGCAUUGCCAGCAGUGAAACUGAAGGACAGAACGUGGCUGACUUUUUCUCUGUUCAGAUUCCCUAAUAUUUCUCCCUGAUUGGAGAAAACCCUAGGUCUCUCUUCUGCCUCGUGGAAGAGGCUCACUUCUUGCAUUUGGAGCAUUCAGCUCUCAAAGGUAGGGAGUUCAUCACGGGCCGAGCUGCACAUGCUCAGUUCUUUGUGUCACCUGUCAGAAGCAACACCUCUCCGCUGGAUAGGGAAGGGUUCCGAGAGCUUGUUUCCAUUCUUCUGUCUCCCCAAAAGCAGAGAGAAGUUCCCUCCUGGUCAGCCCACCGGGACAGGGAGGAAAGUCUCCUGAGUAAGACUGGCAUCCCAGGCCGAGGUCCAGACACACGCACCACCUUGUGCACUUGCGUCACCUUGUGCAUCUGGCUUACAUGGGGUCUAGAGAGUUGAACAUGGGUCCUUAGGCUUCAAGGCAAGUGACUUUGCCACUAAGCCAUCUCUCCAGCUCUAGUUCAUUAAUUUUUAAUACUCUACAGUACUUCCAUAUAUGUAUAAAAAUUUUAAUCUUCUCUCUUUUCUGUGUGUGGUGUUUGUGUAUGUGUCCGUGUGUGUGUACAAUUAUGUGGGCACAAAAUGUUUUCCUCGAUUGUGUUCCACCUCACUAUUAACUUAUUUAUAUAUGUGUGCGGGCAUGCCAGAGUCUCUUGCCACUGUAAACAAACACCAGGUGUCUGGCUUUACGUACGUGGCUGGGAAGUUAAAAUGGGACUGGCAGGCUUUGCAAGCAAGCACCUUUAACUGCUGAACAAUCUCUGCGGCCCCUCUACCUUGUCUUUUGGGGCAGGUCUCUCACUGAACCUGGAACUCACUGAUUCUUGUCACUAGAGACCUGACAGAAGAAACCUAAGGAAGGAAAGGUUUACUUUGUAUCACACUCUCAGAGGGCACAGUGCACCAUGAGAGAAGGCUUGUCACAGUCUGACACCAUGCUGGCGGGAGUGUGCCCUGGACCACACAGGCACCUGGUCAUCUCACACAACAAAAUGUGUUUCAUUCAACUUCAAAAGUUCCCGCACUCUUAAUAGCUCUGCUCAGAGGUCUAAAGUCCUUUGAGAAGCAAAGAAAAACUCUUAUGAGCUCCUAUAGGAUUUUUUAAAAAUGUACAUGCUUCCAAGAAAUGAUGGCAAAGCAAAUAUUCCCAUCCCAGAAACAGUAAGAAUGGGGAGACAGUACAAAAGAAACAUAAGGAUUGGACCAAAGCAAGACAAAACCCAGUAGGGCAAACAAUCCUAUAGCUCCGUAGCAGAUACCUUUGCUCACAUUAUUUUUUGGCCUUCAUAUCCUGCAGUAUUGUGCAGGUGGCCUCAGGCUUGCAGGAUGCCUUUUUAUAUCCUAUUGCUGUUUUCCUUCCCCAUUCUCAGGAUAAACCUGGUAAAUAUACCCUGAAUGUUAUGCUGCCUUGAAAUUUCCUCGAAUAAAUUAGUUUGUUACUUCUGAGUUCUUUAAUUCAGAAACUAAUACAUAUGUCCCCUGUCCAGUCCAAUUCCCAGUUGGGUCCUUGUUCUCUGAAAUUUCAUGAGCCCAGACAGACUGUACUAUCUGCAUUUGUGUAUGUGUGUGUUGUGGAAAGAAUAAAGGUAUGCAUAUUUGUGUAUGUAUA